rnacentral:rRNA from 1 species
CAGAACGAACGCUGGCGGCAGGCCUAACACAUGCAAGUCGAGCGGAAACGAUCCUAGCUUGCUAGGAGGCGUCGAGCGGCGGACGGGUGAGUAACACGUGAGAAUCUGCCCAUUAGUGGGGGAUAACCUGGGGAAACCCAGGCUAAUACCGCAUAAUCCCUACGGGGGAAAGCAGGGGAUCUUCGGACCUUGCGCUAUUGGAUGUGCCUAUGUCGGAUUAGCUAGUUGGUGGGGUAAGAGCCUACCAAGGCGACGAUCCGUAGCUGGUCUGAGAGGAUGAUCAGCCACACUGGGACUGAGACACGGCCCAGACUCCUACGGGAGGCAGCAGUGGGGAAUCUUGCACAAUGGGCGAAAGCCUGAUGCAGCCAUGCCGCGUGUGUGAUGAAGGCCUUAGGGUUGUAAAACACUUUCAGAGGGGAAGAUAAUGACGGUACCCUCAGAAGAAGCUCCGGCUAACUCCGUGCCAGCAGCCGCGGUAAUACGGAGGGAGCUAGCGUUGUUCGGAAUUACUGGGCGUAAAGC